GACGAACGCUGGCGGCGUGCUUAACACAUGCAAGUCGAACGGAAAGGCCCUGCUUUUGUGGGGUGCUCGAGUGGCGAACGGGUGAGAAACACGUGAGUAACCUGCCCUUGACUUUGGGAUAACUUCAGGAAACUGGGGCUAAUCCCGGAUAGGAGCUCCUGCUGCAUUGUGGGGGUUGGAACGUUUCGGCGGUUGGGGAUGGACUCGCGGCUUAUCAGCUUGUUGGUGGGGUAGUGGCUUACCAAGGCUUUGACGGGUAGCCGGCCUGAGAGGGUGACCGGCCACAUUGGGACUGAGAGACGGCCCAGACUCCUACGGGAGGCAGCAGUGGGGAAGAUUGCACAAUGGGCGGAAGCCUGAUGCAGCAACGCCGCGUGCGGGAUGACGGCCUUCGGGUUGUAAACCGCUUUCGCCUGUGACGAAGCGUGAGUGACGGUAAUGGGUAAAGAAGCACCGGCUAACUACGUG
rnacentral:rRNA from 1 species